GGGCUCGUGGCCUAGUUUGGAUAAGGCACCGUCCUUCUAAGUCGGUGAUCGAGGGUCCAAAUCCCUCCGAGCCCGCUA
rnacentral:tRNA from 1 species